UCAAAAUCACCCUGUGUUAAACGUUGCGUGUCGAAUGUUGCAACGAAUCUCACAAGCUCAACGUGAUUGACAGGAGGAUUUAUCAGUAUCCAGGAGGUGUGACGAUAAAAUAAUAUUGUAAAAAGUCUCUGCAAUAUCUAUGCAACAUUACACUGCAAUAUAUAAUAUUGCAAUGUUGCAGCGAAGACGCUGCGGGCUUCUGUGCUGUAUGGGAUGCUUGAGAAAACUUGUUGACUGGUUGGUUCAACACCGGCUAAACGUCAUUCAACAAACGAGAACGCAAUAAUAUCUUUCAAUUUGUUUGAAAGCUAUCUAUUCAUCGGAUUGCAGCGUUUUAACAAUGUCAGUUCAACAUUCUUUUCCCAACUGCCGAUGCUUCCGAUUUAAAGCCAGCCGUUGAUCAACCAAUACGUGCCGCUCGGGAAACUUGCAAACG